rnacentral:rRNA from 1 species
GAUGAACGCUAGCGGGAGGCCUAACACAUGCAAGCCGAGCGGUAUUUGUUCUUCGGAACAGAGAGAGCGGCGCACGGGUGCGGAACACGUGUGCAACCUGCCUUUAUCUGGGGGAUAGCCUUUCGAAAGGAAGAUUAAUACCCCAUAAUAUAUUGAGUGGCAUCAUUUGAUAUUGAAAACUCCGGUGGAUAGAGAUGGGCACGCGCAAGAUUAGAUAGUUGGUGAGGUAACGGCUCACCAAGUCAAUGAUCUUUAGGGGGCCUGAGAGGGUGAUCCCCACACUGGUACUGAGACACGGACCAGACUCCUACGGGAGGCAGCAGUGAGGAAUAUUGGACAAUGGGUUAGCGCCUGAUCCAGCCAUCCCGCGUGAAGGACGACGGCCCUAUGGGUUGUAAACUUCUUUUGUAUAGGGAUAAACCUACUCUCGUGAGAGUAGCUGAAGGUACUAUACGAAUAAGCACCGGCUAACUCCGUG